AAGUCUUCUCCCAACCCCCACCUGCGGUUUAAUGAGAAAGGCCACUGACGUUGGCGGGGCUUGAGUCCUUAGGGGCGGAGUCCAAAAUGUAGGUGACUGGGAUUGACUAGAGCUGCAAUUAAUAAAAGUGUCCUGAUAAAGUUUGAUCCGAGCAUAAAUGUCGUCUGUGGAUGACAGAGGGAACGAAUUAAAAACAAAUUCUUUGUCACUGCUGUCAUCAAACGUGGGCGGGGGAACGUAAUCGGAGGGCGUCAACGUAGUGACGUAAUAGCUGCUGUCCUGUGAUUGACAGGCCAGCCGGAGGAGUCUUUAGAGAAUAGAACAGAGGAUUUACCAGACACCUGAGGGGAAUGUCGGGCUGCUUGAAGCUGGCUGUGUACCGGAGAGAAGGCUUGCAGGGUUGGAGCGUCUCUGUCGCGAGGUGAAGCCUUCCAAUGUGACUUCCGCCUUCGAUGACGCGAGCGAGCGGGGUGAGAGGGGAGAUCACCAGGCCAGACGUAGUCGAGCGGGACCAGGAAUGCUCCAGGCCCCCACAUGUCCUCGUCUGGCGAACAGCGGAGCGUCUCUUUCUCCAUUGCUCGGAGUACAGCCCACGUACCUUGGUCGACCUCUGAAAAGCUUGCAGCGAGAAAACUCUUUUCUGCUUGCUUCCUACUGUGAUGAUUGCGUGGUAUCAUGAUGCGGGGUCGUUCUCUCAGAGAUGCAGUCGGGCUUCAGACACAGCGGGAAGGGCAAGCUUCCUUCCUUGCUCAUUCUUCAUGAACAGCUCCACCAUCAGGACCUUUUCCUUGUGCAUCUGCAGGCUGAUGUCCUUUGGUAUGUCUGCGAUCAACCAAUCAAUAAAGUCACUCAUGACUAUCACCACAUUCUGUGAGGAAACAACAAUGGAAAGCAUCAUGAGACAUCACUAAAUAUACCAAAAUGUACACACAGUGAUUGAUCAACGGAUGCUAAAAAUGCGUAACAGUAGUUUGAGAAUAAUUGAUGUUGGCCACAAGGAAGUUUUUUCAAUGCAGAAAAAUAAUCUUAAUAUGACCCAUUUUUAAAAAUAGACAUUACUGAUCAUCAGUCUUCACUAUAAUGUCACAUUAGUCACUUGAUUAACAUACACAUCAACCGAAUGUCCUGUGAGAUGACCGCCGGCUGGUGUGAGUUAAGUAUGGAAAAAAAAGACAGGCAGGAAACAUUUUUUAUUAGACACAGACUAUCUCUCCCAAACACUUGCCGUUAAAUAUGUAAAGACUGACCGCAUAGUUCCUGUCUUCACAAUAAAAGUGCUGCUCCAUGCUGCCUGCGAUAAUAAAAUAAGGGUCUCAGAAAACUGGCUUGUACACUCAUGCUUAUUAUGUAUCUACUUAAGAAAGUGACAGUUUUAAUUUCAGGAGGUGGAUCAACAACCCAAACACCAAAACAAUCUAACUAGAUUUCAAACCCAGGACAAAAGAUUACAUGUUGAAGUGAGUUUGUAAUAAAUAUCAAAAUGACAUUUUUCAGCAGAAUCACCAAGAACCCGGGUGAAGAAUACUAAGAAAGACUAAAACAGUUUGAGGUCAAUUUUCAAAAACCUGUGCAGUCUGAGGAGUUUUUGAAUAGGAUUUGAUUUUUAUAACAAAAAUACAUUUUGAGCUUGUGUUGAUUAUUGUUUUACUACACAACACAUUUACACACACACACACACACACACACACACACACACACACACACACACACACACACACACACACACACACACACACACACACACACACACACACGCAAACACUCACACACAUGUUACAUGAUUUGAGUAUCUUACUAACUUCAUUCAAGAGUAGCCUCCAAACUAGAGAGGGCACCAACACAACAGUUCUUUAAAGAAAUUCAUUCAAACUUAAGUUGGAAACUAUGAUACUCAAUCCUCCUCUUCUAACUCAAAACAAUGUUUAUAAAUUGUUAUUAAUUGAUUAAUAAGGAUAUUCAUACCGAACAACCUUAUUAUUCAUUCAUACUCAAAAAUUAAUCUUAAAAACACUUAUCAUAAUAUUUGAUGAAUAAUUCACAUAAAAAAUAAAUACUUCUGGCCCCGCAAUUGACAGCCUCAUGCUUGAUAGAGCAGGGAAAUGUUGACAAUGACAGGUGUUGUAACUCUGAAAGGUUUUCUGCACACUACAUUAGUUGUUUCAAAAUUGAAUUAGCAAAUAAGUUUGAAUAAUUUCAACCAGGAUGUGAAAUGUAAAACAUUUAGAGGGCAUGAAGUAAAGUAAAGGUUAGUAUUGCACCCUGAAAGUAACAAAUAAACUAUAUGAUUUAGCUCAUUAUUGGGUUCAGUGUGGUGCAAAAAAUACACACUUUAUAAUCAUGGUUGAGGUGUGAUGACACCAUCAAUAAAAACUACACAAAUAUGAUCAUGGUUUGUGAUGAGAUCAUCAACAAAGCAAAAUAGAGGUGAGUUGGGCAAGAGACUAAAAUGCUUUCAGCUUUAAACACUGCAUUAAAAGAAUGUAAUAAUCCUAUAAUGGGAUGUUAACAAAAUAUUAAGUUCCUGUCAUUUUGAAAUAAAUUAUACUUCGAUGUUCUUAAAUAUCUACAAUACAUGUACAUUAUUUUAUCAAUAAGGCUACCCCAAUCCAUAGUUUAUUCUAAUUAUUUCUGCAUAGUGAUUACUAAAAAACAGUAUUUAUUUACAUGCAUAUUAAUUGUUUAAAUCACCUUUUGUUUGCAUUAGUGAAUUGAUUAUAUCACAUUAUUUGCGCUGGAAAUAGCUUUACUUCCUUGUGGCCACCGUUGUGGGCGUUCCAUUAGAGAUAUAUUUGUUUUCUUCUGUUAUUUCUUAUUGAAGGCAGUGUCACAAAUCACAAGCUCCAUCGGUCUUAAAUUGACUCAGCAGCAUCACCUCUUGUGUAAGAGUGCAAACUAAGAGAAACAAAAAAUUGCAAAAGUGGAAAAAAAUGUGCCCAAAGUGUAAACGUGAAGAACAUUUUUUUUCCACUUGCAAAUCUUUUAGUAUUUGUGAAUUUAUUUUGAGUUUGUGAAACAUUUUAUUGAGUUUGUGGAGUUUUGGCAGUCAUUUCACUCCAACAGUCGCUGUGUUUGCAACCAGCUCCACAGUGCUGGCAAACAGGGGCGGAGCUAGAGGGGAGGCCAGGGUAGCACUGGACCCCCUGAAAUCUGAUUGGACCCCCCAGGUACCACCCCAGAUGAUUGACAUCUGUCCUUCCGCACGUCUUGUCGGAAGGAGCCAGUUGCAUUUUUAAAUCAGUGAAGCCUAUUGACUGCUAAGUCCCUCCCGUACAGUAGUUGGCGCUAUGUACCACAAAGCCUUGCAAGCCACGUUCAUUAGGGGAGAAGAAGAAUCGCCACUGAAGAAGAGGAAGAUUUAAAUUGGAGUCGCUUAUCGUAGCUGGAGACCGGAGAGCCGGAGAUUAACGAAGCUACAAAGAAAAAGAUGGAUACUUUACGACGAGAAGGGUCAGUUGAGAAUGAAAAGGCAGGGGGAGAAGAUUUAUGACCUCUUUUUAAAAAGAAGCAAGUCAGGGUCAGGAAAAGAUGAGGCAGAAAAACAGCCAGGAUUCAGGUCUGCCAGCAGUCUUGGCACUCCCAUCCUGGGACGACUCAGGAGGAGAGAGAAUGUGAUGCACACAGGCCAUCAUCACCAGUUCCAUUAGACACAGAAGAAAAAGAUGGCAGCUCCCUUCCUGGGACUAGUCGGGAGAGAGAACUCACAACACAGCACAGCCCAUCUUCACCAGGUCAGAGCAUGGACAGAAACAGUCACAUGCUCAGUUCAGUAAUUAAGUUGCCAAGUUGUGUUUGACAUUUUCUGCAUUGUUAAUAAACUGCAAAUUAUAUAUAUAUAAAUCUCAUCUCCUGUGUGCUUAGUAUGUACAUUUCAACAUUUGCCGCCCCAAUUGCAAUUGAUAAGUCAAGAAAAAAAUUGUUAUAGUCUGUGGACCCCCUGAAAUAGCCUUGGCCACCCCCUGGCCACCCAAAGGAUAAAAGUCUAGCUCUGCCACUGCUGGCAAACAAUAGCAGUUGAGAAAAGAAAGGAACUGUUGUUAAUGUUUAAUUACUGUGUCUCUGCAACGCGACAAUUUGUCUGGAUGUGGACACCAAUGCAGUUUUACCGUGCAUUUAAGGGUUUCGGGAAACGAGC